rnacentral:tRNA from 1 species
GCUGGUGUGGCAGAGCCCGGCACAAUUGCGAAAGGCCUAAGCCCUUUAAACAGAGGUUCAACUCCUCUCUCCAGCU